GGUUCUUUUUAGACUGACAUGCCCUCUACUCUUCCACCUUACAGUAGAAGAACAACGUCUAUAUUAAUGGCUACUGGCCCUCUAAGUUCAGAGGCAGUGAGCUACUGGAUGCCAACUGCUGGUGAGCAAUGACAGGAGAGGGGUCUGGCCUUCGUGACCUGCUUGUGGGUUUCUCAGAGAAACAUCAGAUUGGUCACUGUGGGGAAAAGAAUGCUAGAUUAGUUAGGCCUCUGGUCUGAUCCGUCAGGGCUCUUCUUAUGUUCCUAAUCUGUCCCUCACCGCUAAGCUGAAGCCACAGGGGGUUGACUCUACUAACUGAGCUAAAUUAAUGCUGAAGGUGACAGAUCACUUUGGCUUAUGAAGUACCCGAAAGCAUGCUAAUUUCAUGCAAUAUUCAGAAGCAGGUUGGAUCUCAGCAUUUGCUUACCGCUCUGAAACAAGCCCCCCAAAUCCAGACCUUGUGAGACUUUGCUUGUCUUCUGCUUGGAAAGGUUAGAUGUUGCGCGACAAUGAUGCGCAAUGGCAUGGUGGACUUGACUGAGUAAAUCUAGCCUGACAUUGUUAUUUUCCAUUUCUGUCAGGGACAAAUGACUACCUGCGAAGUGGACAUCUCUUCACCCACCUUCCUCUUCCUGCUAUCCCCCUUCACUUCUAUGUCUUUCUGCCUGACACACAUGCAAGCCCAAACAUUGUGCCAACCCCCAAAAAAUCUCCUGGGUUUUUAUUCAUUCUCCAACAAUUAACAAGAAUAAUGUACAGUGGUACCUCGGGUUAAGUACUUAAUUCGUUCCGGAGGUCCGUUCUUAACCUGAAACUGUUCUUAACCUGAAGCACCACUUUAGCUAAUGGGGCCUCCCGCUGCCGCCGCGCUGCCGGAGCAUGAUUUCUGUUCUCAUCCUGAAGCAAAGUUCUUUACCUGAAGCACUAUUUCUGGGUUAGUGGAGUCUGUAACCUGAAGCGUAUGUAACCUGAGGCGUAUGCAACCCGAGGUACCAUUGUAUUGCGGACAGAAAUUAUCGAAAGGGGAGAGACAGAAAAAAACCCCAAUGAAAUUCUCAUAGGUGGAGUUAGGUUUAAUGAGGCUGAGGGGUACACUGGCUGAGACCCUACCUGCCCGUGAACUGUCCUGUCAGAGUGGUGCAUGCUCUAGUUAUCUCCUGCUUGGACUACUGCAACACGCUCUACGUGGGGCUACCUUGGAAGGUGACUUGGAAACUACAACUAAUCCAGAAUACGGCAGCUAGACUGGUGACUGGGAGCGGCCACCAAGACCAUAUAACACAGGUCCUGAAAGACCUACAGUGCCUCCCGGUACAUUUCCAAGCACAAUUCAAAGUGUUGGUGCUGACAUUUAAAGCCCUAAACGGCCUCGGCCCAGUAUACCUGAAGGAGCAUCUCCACCCCCAUCGUUCAGCCACUUCUGGGGGUCUUCUGGCAGUUCCCUCCCUGCGAGACCAGGCAGAGGGCCUUCUCGGUAGUGGUGCCCACCUUGUGGCAUGCCCUCCCAUCAGAUGUCAAGGAAAUAAACAACCAUCUGACUUUAGAAGACAUCUGAAGGCAGCCCUGUUUAGGGAAGUUUUUUAAUGUCUGAUGUUUUAUCGUGUUUUUAAUAUUCUGUUGGGAGCCGCCCAGAGUGGCUGGGGAAACUCAACCAGAUGGGCGGGGUAUAAAGAAAUUAUUAUUAUUAUUAUUAUUAUUAUUAUUAUUAUUACUACUACUACUAUUACUACUACUACUAUAAGUGUCCUUUCCUUCAUCCUGCAGAUCAUUUCACCUGUGGCCUGCACUCUGCAGCCUUCCCAGGUUCCUGCUCUUCAGUUAAAGCCUAGGGAAAUAUAUCAAGAGUUAACCUCUCCUUUUUCAGUUCAGGAAGCCCAGGCAACCAAGGAGGCUGCAAGCAUGCGGGAAAAACUCAACCUAGGAGGCACAAGAUUUAG
rnacentral:lncRNA from 1 species